UACAGAGAUACAGCAACGAGGCUUCCUGUCCUUGCCACAUAAUCUCCUCCCUCCCAGCCGUAUCAUAAAAAACAUCCAGAUGACAUCCCAGUGGCAGAAUCUUCUAGAAACCAACAAGAUCAGUGUAAAAAGGGGGACGAAGAUAAAGAGGAAAGUGUGACUAAGUACACAUUCGCACACAAGGGCGGCAAUGAGGCGUGGUCAACACAGACGCUGGGAGCAAUGACGGUGCAGAACUCAUUUAUGUGGGCAAAACGCCACUUGGCAUGAUGACGAGAAAAUCCAGUUGCAAAAUAAGAAGGAUCAAGCGGCUUGUGCUUAUGGUCUUCUCUCGGAAGGAACAAAAACAAAAGAUAUGAGUGAAAUGCAAGUAGCCCAAACAAAGUGCAUGGUGUAAAUGUUGUAGGUGUAAACCCAUCCGUCUCGUUUGGGAGUGGAAGGGACGUGGAUCAAGGGUGCAUGUAGGUGGGUGUGGACUGUAGGGAGUUGAAAGUGCCAUACAAGGGAAAAACAAAGGAUAGUGAUCCUAUAGACUCUGGUGUAAAACGAAGCUUGUCUCUCUUCACUGAAUCAUUUGUAAGCUGAUGAAUGCACCUGUUACAUCACCUCUCACUCAGGUGCUGGUUUCCCACAGAGUGCAUCUGCCUCUCUGGUUUCUUAUUUCUCUCUCGCUGUGUACUAAAUUCUGCCAAAUACAUGGUUCUCUGUCCAA